CCCGUAUCAGGGGGGAUAAUCCAUGGAAACGUGGUCUAAUACCCCAUAGUAAUUAUGUAAGGCAUCUUAUAUAAGUUUAAAGCUUUGGUGGAUACGGAUUGGCUCGCGUGACAUUAGCUGGAUGGUAAGGUAACGGCUUACCAUGGCUACGAUGUCUAGGGGUUCUGAGAGGAAGGUCCCCCACACUGGAACUGAGACACGGUCCAGACUCCUACGGGAGGCAGCAGUGAGGAAUAUUGGACAAUGGAUGGAAAUCUGAUCCAGCCAUGCCGCGUGCAAGGAAGACGGCCCUAUGGGUUGUAAACUGCUUUUGUAUGGGAGCAAUAAGGGCUACGUGUAGUCCGAUGAGAGUACCAUACGAAUAAGCACCGGCUAACUCCGUGCCAGCCGCUGC
rnacentral:rRNA from 1 species